GUGGUAAGGUUCCAUGUGACCCAUCUUACCAAGGUCUGAUUAUGGUAAUAGUUUGGCAAACAAUCUACUCCACCAUCAAUGGCCCCAGAUUACAGCUGUUUUUUUAAAAAUCUCAGUCGCUUCUAGAAACUUGCAAGAUGGAUUGUACACAGAGGAGAAGACGGAAAGACACGCCAUGAGCCUUUAUGCUAUUGUUUUUCAGAGAACAGGAGACAGAAUGGUGGCUGUUCAAGCCUCCCAAGGUGCAAGAUUUCUUCCUCUCUAAGUUGCAAGGUGAAGCCAUUUGGAAGAGCAGUUGUAAUGGGUGAGGGCAACCAGGCUGUUCAUGUGCUUCAUGUCCAGCUAAAACUUAAUCCAAGAAGUACCAGAGUGGAUUCUCUGCUUCUGUUCAGCCACAGAAGGUGUAAUUCCUAGUAGGCAGCAUCACUCUAAGAAUGGCAUCAAGAAUUUAGUGAAAAAUUAUGAUUAAGAAAACAAUUCAACCGCCUUACUCAUCGUGGUAAUCUAAAUUAAAAUGAUCCUAGGGGCAGCAAGGUAAUUCAUCAUGUAAGGGCAUUUAUUUACUGUGAAGUUUGUCAACCUGAGUUCAGUCAUUGGAACCUACAUGAUGGAAGGAGAGGGUUGACUUCUUAAGCUGUCCUCUGACAUCCACAAGUGCAUCAUGGCACAUAUGCCUCCCUGGUCACAUGCAUAGCAACACACUUGCAUAAACACAUACACACACAAAUUGUAAAGAUUAUUUUAAAAACUCCAGUAGAAAUGGAUAUUUUAAAGGAUGUUGUUAUUUGUAUAACAACAAAUGCUGGAGAGGAUGUAGGGGAAAGGAAGGCUUUGUGUAAUGCUAGGAGUCAUGUAAAUUAGUGUGGUCACUAUGGAAAUCAGUGUGGAGUGUCCUCAAAAAUGAAAAAGAGGACUACAGCAUGAACAUCAAUAGCUGCAUUCCUGGAUAUGUGCCUGAAGGGACCUAGGCCAGCAUGCUCCAGAGACACUUGUACACCCAUGUUUACUGUAGCACUAUUUAUAAUAGUUUCAUUGUGGAGCCAACAAUGAUGUUUGUCAAACAAUGAAUGAAUGAAGAGAACUGGGUACAUAGACCCACUAUUUUCUCUUCAGAAAUAAAAUUACAUUGUUUUCUGGAAAAUAGAUGCACUUUGAUCACCGUGUAAAGUGAAAUAUGCUAGUCUUAUUUGAAAAAACACACAUUUUAUUUAUGGUCCCUAGAUUUCCUUUCUUCCCAUUUGUGUAAAAUCUAUUCAUGUGUACAUGUUUAUAUGUACGUGCAUGCAUACAAGUGCACACCCAUGUGUGGAUGGCAGAGGCACAUAUCAGUGUCUUUCUAUUUCACAUCCCACCUUAUUGUAUGAAACAGGUUUUCUCACUGAACCCGAAGCUUACCAGUUCAGCAGAAUUAGCUGGCCAGUGAGCUUCAGAUGCCCUCUUUCCAACACUAGUAUUAAAAUCUAGUGAAAACAUGCCUGGCUUUUUCCAUAUGUGCUUGAGACCCAGCCUCAGGUCCUCAUGCUUAUGUGCACUCAGAACUUUAUCCAUCUCCCUAGGCCCCUGAACCCUAAAUUUUUUAUAGACACAUGGCAUUGUACACAGAAAAAAAUAUAUGUAUGUAUAUAUGAGACAUGGAAACAGUAGUGACUCUGGAGAAGGGGGAAGACUAGAAUAGAUUGGGGUGGGCAGGGAGAAGGUAUGAGUAGUUAGUACGUAGCACACGAUUAAUCGAAAUAAAUUGUCUUUAUGAAACCGAGCACUAUGCAAAAGUAAAUUACACCAAUAAAUUUCACUUUUUUAAAUAAUCAUCAGCUGGUAUGAGAUUGU